CAGCUCCAAUAGCGUAUAUUAAAAUUGUUGCAGUUAAAAAGCUCGUAGUUGAACUUCUACUGCAUUGUUUUAUCUCUUGUAUGAGUUGAUGCAUUGUGGCUUAUUUCGGUCGUGGUUUUCCUCGUCCGGAUUUUUACUUUGAGAAAAUUAGAGUGCUCAAAGCAGGCUUUUGCCUUGAAUAGUUUAGCAUGGAAUAAUGAAGUAGGACUUUGGUUCUAUUUUGUUGGUUUUUGUACCAAAGUAAUGGUUAAUAGGAACAGUUGGGGGCAUUCGUAUUUAACUGUCAGAGGUGAAAUUCUUGGAUUUGUUAAAGACGAACUACUGCGAAAGCAUUUGCCAAGGAUGUUUCCAUUAAUCAAGAACGAAAGUUAGGGGAUCGAAGAUGAU
rnacentral:rRNA from 1 species